UAACCGACGGAAGGGAGGCCGCUUACCACGGUGCGUUUCGUGACUGGGGUG
rnacentral:rRNA from 1 species